CUAAAAAAAAAUUCAGAAUGCUGUGUCCCUUGCACCCACUGUAUUCCAAACUGACUAUGUUACCAUGACGCAUGGGCCACUGCUUUAAAAACACUCUGAGAGUCUAUUGAGCAAAGAAAAAGCUAUUCAUCAAAUUUGACCAGAAAAAUGUCUGCAGGUUUUAGGUCGCCUGAGGUUGACGGAAAGGUGAUGGAAAUAUAUGUCAGGGUCUGAAAAGAAGUCGAUUGAGAGAGUGAUGUCACUUGCAGUGGAAAAAUGACCCAGUAGGUGACAGUAAUACAAGUUUACAGAUGUUUCCUGGAGCUUCUCCUGGGCCAGAGCCUGGAGCAACUCUUACUGGAUCUGCCCGGCCUCCUGCAAAUAUAACAGAUGUAAGUCUAAACAAAUGAGAAGAAAGUUUUUGCCGACUGAACAAUACUUUUGGUCCAUUUUAGUACUUUUCCAGUUAAAUAACUUCUGGCUAACAAUCAGGUAUUUCUGUUCUGCUAACUGUUCAUGAACUGUGUGGCAAGCUCUGAACUUUCAUCACCACAUUAUUUGGCAAAAUUUAGCCAAAAUUCUGCAGAACAUUUUAGCACUAAUGCUCAGCUAGUUUAAGCCUAUUAUUAAAACAAUAAUAAUAAAAAUCAUCUUUGUCAU